UUCUUAUCGCUUUACCCUUGACAUUCUUGUCGUGAUAUCUAGCGAUACUUUGUUUAUAAGCUGCAUUCUUUGCCUGUGCAUUAUCCCUAAGCUCAUCCACUAAGUCCAGAGUUAUCGCACAUGAUCUCAUGUUUUCUUCCAUGUCAUAAGAUAACACUCUGACUGUUGGAAUGCUUAGCUCUGUUGGGAUUAGUGCUUCCAUUCCGUAUGCUAGUGAGAACGGGGU
rnacentral:lncRNA from 1 species